GUGUUUACUUCAGCAACAUAUAUACUAAAAUUGGAACACUACAGAUAUUAGCAUGGCCCAUAAGCAAGGAUGACAGCCAAAUUUGUGAAGCAUUCCAUAUUUUU
ensembl:snRNA LOC120093911 U6 spliceosomal RNA